UUGGUUAACGAAACGAGCUCGCGCGUGCGUUUGCGCUCGCGAUCGAUUGAGGUCGUCGCACGCCUCCCGUGUGCGUCCCUCGAAGUGCAGCACGUUCGACGCCCGUGUCGUGCGAACAAGGCCCAAAGAACUUUGUCCUUGCGUGCGCGACGUCCGUCGUCCGUCAAUCCAUUCAAAACUAUAAUAUUAACCU
rnacentral:rRNA from 1 species